rnacentral:lncRNA from 1 species
ACAUGACACUCCCUCUGUCCAAUCACUGUGGCCAAGAGAAUGCGCUAUUGUGAUUGGCCCAGCCUGGGUCAGAGCCUUCCCCUGCUGCCUGGAGCAGGGUCUGUCUCCAGGAGAGAGGAGUAGGGUUCAGCCAUUCCAAUGGCGCUGCCGCCUGAAGAGCUGUCAGUCCUACUUUGCAGUUGAGCUGGCUCUGAGAAGAAAGUGCUCUGCCUAGCCCUGUGAUUGAUCCACAACUUCAUGGGGACUCAAACAUGGGUUCUUUUAUUCCAGGUGGAGAAAUUGAGGCCCCAAGCAGGGGCAGACUCACUGGGGUCACAUGACACAUGCUGGCUCGCCCAGGCCCUACUCAUGUUUCGGCACAACGACCCUGCUCUGCCUCCGUCCCCAAGACCCUGGGCUGUGCAACCAGGGCCAGACCUGUUCUUCAGCCGCACCAGGGCCUGGCUGUGCCUCUGCCUGUCAGUGGCCAAGCCCUGAGCCUGGAGCCAUCCAGAGCCGCACGGAACCCACAGCCUGCAGGGUGGGGCUAGACAUGGCUCCUCCUGCCCGCCCGUGGGUCGUACACCAGCUCAUUAGAGCCAAAGCAGCAUCGAUUUUGUGAAUGAUGAGCAUGUGUACGUGUUUUUGGAGCCCUGGUGUGAUUUGGCGUGUGCAGCUGAUGAUUCAGGGGGGUCAUGUGCAAACGACACGCCUUAUAAAUGUGAACCCACCAGAACGCCCCGUUACGGAGAUUUACACUGAUCCUUAAACAUCGUAGAUUAAUUUUUGGAAAACAUCUAUAAAAUAAGAGAUUUAUACCUAAAACAAUACCCUAUGCUGUGACAGGAAGGGAUUAGAGUCAAUUUAUUCCUGUAUUAGUCAAAAACUCAAUUUCAUAUAUUGUGUGGAAAAAUUAAAACCCUUUCUACAUUUUAUUACAAAUUAUGCAUACUCCAUAUAUGGAGAUAAAUAAUUGAUAGCAUUACAAAUACUUAAUCUAGAAAAUAUUUAUUAGGAACAGACAACUCAUUUUUCAUGUGUUUUGUUGAGAACAAUAUUGCACACUUUAAAAAAUUAAUGAUGACUCUUUGCAAAAAUAAAUGUCUACAUCCUAAUUCUUUUGUUUAGCAUUGUGUCCAAGCCAGGCAGACGCAGCCGGGCAGUGGGCAGGUGGCCAUGGAGCUGGGAUGUCCACUCCCUGGCCCCUGGCUGUGGAUGGGUCAGAGGGCUCAUGUGCUGUGGCAGUUGGCCAGGGAAGGUGCAUUUGGAGAGUGUCAACAUACUGUUUGUCUUCUGCUGUGCAAACUCUCCUCGACUUGUAAUUUAAAACUAAAAGUGUUUCCGACUUAAUUUCUGAGAAAGCACCAAGUAAUGGGAUUUGUGGAUGGACUUGAAGAGCCAAGAAAUCAACACUGACUGCCUCUCGACCUGGAGAAUUACGGAGCCCAUGAAUUCUCUGGGCCUCAGCUCUGGUCCCAGGCUCUGUGCACAAAGAGAGGUGGGCCUGGUGGGUGGUGCGGAGCUUGGCCUUGUACUUCGUGGCUGGCUCAGCCUGCCCUCCUGGGACAAGUGGCUCUGCCGGGUUCUGUGUGCCUCCUGGCAUCUCUCUGAGGGGAGCUCCCAGCCUCUGCCUAGAAUACCUGGGCAGCGUGUUCAGACCUGGGGCCCCCUGCACCAUCACCCCAUUCCAGGCUGGGAAGCUUGAGGACCCAGGCAGGGAAGCUUGAGGACCCAGGCAGGGCCCCAGUGUGCCACAGGGCUUGGCCACUGUGCAACUGCACUGCAGCUCUGGCCUCUGGCCGGGCCUUGCUUACCGACCUCUGCCCUCUGCCGUGUGUCCUCCACCUUGGCCAUGCACAGCGGGGGCUAGGCGGGCACAUGGUGGAGGCUGCCAAUGGUGCCCUGGCAAGUUCUCUUCGCCCUCGUGCCAGCCACUCCAGGGAGCACCAGGGAUUGAAUAAAUAACUGCCACGUUUAUUAAAAAAUAAAUUUGGUGCCUAACGGAAG